UGGCCUGGAUGGUGCGUCGGCGCCGCUGCCCGAGACGCUGCGGAUCACCGGCAAGGGCGGGAAGGAACGGAUCGUGCCCGUCCUGCCCGUC
rnacentral:tRNA from 1 species